GCCACAUGAUGAUCUUGUGUCUGCAAUAGCUUUCGGGCUGUGAUGACCAUCGAUCUAUCACCCUUUACUGAUGGCU
ensembl:snoRNA SNORD83 Small nucleolar RNA SNORD83